CCGACCCACUGCAGCUGAGCUGCUCAGAACCAUCCACCCAGCUCGGAGAUAGUUUCUAGCUGCCUGGAGUCGAGGUAGGCCUCGGCUUUCAGCAGAGGCUUCCCCUGGGCAUGCUGCGGGAAAGCAGAAUGUGUUUCAGUGGUUGCAGCCACAAGGCCGUAUACUCUCUAAGAUAAGUGCAGCCGCUUUUGUGACCUCUCUCCACCGCUGACCGACUGCUGCCAAAUGCCUCGGAAUAGCUGAACGCCUGUGCUACCUGCUGGUCAAAUAUAUUUACUGCAUCUGGAGUAGAAAUCAGGUAAAAUUAUGGUGGAAUAUUUAUCAUUUGCUAAAAUUGGUAAUAUUUUUGCUUAUUACGUGAAUUCACUGUUUGAGGAGGAUGUUAAUGUGCCAAUUACUGGCCUAUAUGCCAUAAUGGCAGUUAGUUUGCUGGUACAAAUAGUAUUACUAGCCAGAGGACUCAGGAAUAGGGAUAAGGAUAACCUCACCACCUACUUACAGGAAAUAACAGCUUUACGAUUAGGUCAGACCACAAUUGUGCAGCAAGUGGAACAGAAAUUGGAUGAUAAACUUGGCUCUGUGUCCAAUACAGUAAAGACAGAGAUGUCUGAUGAGAUGCAGCAUAUUUAUGAUAAGAUAAACACAGAGAGAUCCUCCAUGUCUGAGGCCUUAGAGGCUAGGCUGUCAGAAGACCAUGACCAGCUAAAGAAUAUCUGUAGCCACCUAGAAACUCAGAUAGGCAAUGUUACCCAGCAACUAGAUGCAACGGUGCAAAAUACCCAGCAUAGGGUUGAAGAAUUGGACAAUGCCAUUCAAUCAGUUAUUGAAGCAUCCAAGGUAGCAGAUCAGAAAUUUGAGUCUAGAUUUGAAUGUUUGGAAGAUAAUUUACAGUACAGGGCUGACAGAUUACAUAGGUCCAUACGGUCAAUUGCUGAGGACUCAAAAUCAGCAAAUCAUGACCUGGAAUCUAGACUCCAAUACCUAGAAGGCAGUUUCCAUGCCAUCCAGAUGCUGCCUAAGGAUGAUCGUAUUAAAGACCUAGAAAAACAUGUAGAUGAGCAGUUAGAGCAAUUUACAGAUUCACUAACGUGCUUGGAAUCUUUUAUGAUCAAGGAGAUUGAAACUUUUCAAAAGGAUAUCAU
rnacentral:lncRNA from 1 species